CCUACGGGAGGCAGCAGUGGGGAAUAUUGGACAAUGGGGGGAACCCUGAUCCAGCCAUGCCGCGUGUGUGAAGAAGGCCCUCGGGUUGUAAAGCACUUUCAGUGAGGAAGAACGCCUGGUGGUUAAUACCCAUCAGGAAAGACAUCACUCACAGAAGAAGCACCGGCUAACUCCGUGCCAGCAGCCGCGGUAAUACGGAGGGUGCGAGCGUUAAUCGGAAUUACUGGGCGUAAAGCGCGCGUAGGUGGCUUGAUAAGCCGGUUGUGAAAGCCCCGGGCUCAACCUGGGAAAGGCAUCCGGAACUGUCAAGCUAGAGUGCAGGAGAGGAAGGUAGAAUUCCCGGUGUAGCGGUGAAAUGCGUAGAGAUCGGGAGGAAUACCAGUGGCGAAGGCGGCCUUCUGGACUGACACUGACACUGAGGUGCGAAAGCGUGGGUAGCAAACAGGAUUAGAUACCCGUGUAGUC
rnacentral:rRNA from 1 species